AUGAUUAUAGUGAUGACAAUUGUGAUGACAAUUGUGAUGACAAUUAUGAUGCUAAAAAAAAAAACAAAACCAACUUUUAUCGAUUUAAAUAGCACUGAAUCAAUAAAAAGGUUAAGCAAAAACUUUUUUAUUAAUAACAAAAAAUGUUUUUUAGAUGAUUUUAAAAAAAAUGAAAUAAAUAAUAAGAUAGAUAAAGACGAAAAUAAAACCUGUAGUAAGAUUUUUAUCGAUAACAGUGAAAACAAUGAUGAAGACAAUAGUGAUGACAAUAGUGAUGACAAUUCAGAAGUAAACAAUUAUCAGUCAUUAUUUACUUUUGAAAAUAAUGAAUUUAUAAAUACAAAAGAAUGGAAUAAUGAAAUAAACAAAAAUCCAGGGUACAUAGAUGUUACAGAUGUUACCGAUAAUACCGAUAAUACCCAUAAUACCAAUAUUACCAAUGCUACAAAUGUUACAAGUACGAAAAAUGGGAAAAGUAUAGUUUUUGAAAAAAAUUAUUUUAAAGAGGCAACUGCUUCUAGUUUGGAUCAUAACCAACAGAACAGUUGUGAUGAUGAUGAUGAUGAUAUAAAAGUAAUACAUGUUACUCCCGUCCAUAAUAGUACCGAUACUAAUAAUAUCAACGACACAUACCAUAACGAUACGUACCACAUAAACAAUCACAACAAUAAUAAUUUAGUUCAAAAUAAUAACUACCACAAGAGUGAUAACGAAAGUUAUAGUAAAAACUGUUACUAUAACACAGAGAACAAAAAAAAUAUAAAUCAUUAUUCAAAUACAGAGGAAUAUAAAAAAAGAAAUUAUAAAAUUACAAAAUCUUUAUAUACAUACUUAAAUGUUCCAUAUAAUUGCUCUAAAGAAGAAAUAAAAAAAGCUUAUAAGGAAAAAAUUAAAAUACAUCAUCCAGAUAAAGGAGGAGAUAUUCAUGAAUUUUUAGGAUUAAAAUUAUCGUAUGAUAUAUUAAUUAAUGAUAAAAAAAGAAAAAUAUAUGAUAAAUAUGGACAUAGUAUGUUAGAUUUAUUAAUAAAUGAUAAAUUUUAUGAUUAUAAUAUAUCAUCCGAAGAAGAAAAAAAUGAAGAAACAUUAACAGAUAAUAAUGAAACAUUCAAAAUGUAUCAAUUAUUUAUACAAAAAUAUCAUAAUAUUUCUUAUAUACAUAAUCAACAUGAUUUAAAAAUAAAUAGUGUUCAAUAUAAUGAAUUACAAAAAUUAAUAUAUUAUUUUUUUAACGAAUCUAAUUAUUUAUUUCAAAAUUUAUUUUAUAUAUAUCCUACAUAUUCACCUGACAUGUCAUCCAUUUUUUAUAAUAAAAAUAAAAUAAACAAAAAUUUUAAAAAAAAUAACAAUAACACCAAUAGUUUAGAAAAAUCGAUCUCAUGUAAUGAUUAUCAUCAAAUAAGUUAUAAUUCAGAUGAUACAAAUCUUGAAACAUCUACUUCGGAAUAUUCAAAUAUUACAAACGAAAUUACAAUUUUUGACACUAUAAAAAAAAACAAUAUUAACAAUAUAUUUAAAAAAUUAGAUUUACAAUUUAAUCAUUUUUAUCAAAAAUCUAUAAUUAAUAAAAUGGGAAGAAAGGUUGUCUCUUCAGAACAAAAAACAAAUCUAUGUAACGACACAAGUCAUAAUGAACAUAUAACAUUUAAAAAUAUACAAUAUACACAAAAUAAUAACAAAAAGUUUAAAAGUGAUAUAAUUAACUUAUCACCACGUAAACAGAAAAAGAUUAAUUCCGAUUGUUAUAGUAGUGGGUACUACCAUGACAAUAACUACUCUAACGAGGAUUGCAACUAUAUAAACGGUCCCGAUAUGAACAAAAUUGACAAAACAUGCGAAACUGACGAAAAAUACAUACCCGAUUUUUUUAAUGAAAUGGAACUAUCACCUCUCCCUUACAAAUUUAUCAAUGAAAGUAACGAACAACAUAUUAACGAUUAUUAUAAAUGGUUUGAGUUGUUUUUUGGUGGUGAUAUAAUAGAUGACAUAAUAGAAUCUACUCAACAGAGUGCAUCAGACGAAAUGUAUUGCACUCCUAAAAAAUCUUAUUCUAAAAAAAAUGAUGUAAAUAUAUUUAACCAUAUAAAUGGGAAGGGAAACAAAACAACUAAUGCUAGUUAUAGGAAGAAUAAAAAUAUAAACAACGAAUCAAGGUCUAGGACACCAAAAAUAUCACACAGUAUAAAUAAACAAAACAAUUUUAUUACAACUGACCCUUAUUUGAUAAAUAAUAACUAUAACAAUAAUAAUGGUUGUUUUAUAAACGAAUGUGAAAAUUCUGUAAACAAAAUAAAUUCUAAGCAUAUUAAAACAAAAGAACAUACAAACUGUAUAAUUCCAUUACGUCAAAUGGAUGUACAUAAUAAUGCAAGUAAUGACAUAUAUGAUAAUACUACACCUCUUUCUUUCAAUUAUACAAACGCGAAUACUAAUUUUUUUGAUAGACUUAGAAGUUCAUUAUAUGAUAAUUCGAUUAAAACAAAUGACCAAAGCAGAAAUAAACACUACUUGGAAAAUAUGUAUUAUAAUGUUCAUAAUAGUACACCUAAAAAAGUGCUUAUAAAUAAUUUAAAAUUUUAUAAUACCUCGCCUCAAAAAAAAAACAUUCACGACGUAAUAGAUUUAGAAUACAUUAAUAACGUUAAUAAUAAUUUUAAUGUUAUGAAUGGUUAUAAUAAUAAUUUAUCAUUUUAUUCAUGUUCACAUGAUAAAAGAAGAAAUAGCAGAACUUUUUUGAACAACGCUUUUUUGAAUGACACCUUUUUAAAUAAUAGUAAUAAUAAUAAUAGUAGUAGUAGUAAUAAUUAUAAUAAUAAUAAUUAUAAUAAUAAUAAUUAUAAUAAUAAUAAUAAUAAUAAUAGUAAUAAUAAUAAUAAUAGUAGUGAUAAUAAUAAUAAUAAUAAUAAUUAUAGUAAUAAUAAAUGUAGUAACAGUGUGAGUCCUAAAAUUCGUCAUAGUACCAGCCACAGUUAUAACAACAGAAGCAGAAGUAAACAGAACAUGUAUGAUGAUAUUUUACUAAACAUAGAAGAAAAAUAUGGUUUUAAUUUACUAAAAACAAAUGAACAUAAAAUUAAAGAUUUAACUUGUGAUUUUAAUUAUAUUUACAUAGGUAAUAACACAUGUAAAAAGAAAAAUUUUAUUAUAUUUAUAAAAGAAGAUAGUAUAAAAAAAUUUUUAAAAAUAAAAUUAUUAAUUUAUAAAAUUAAAAAAAAAUCAAAUUUAAAAGAUAUAUCAUUAUAUGAAAAUCAAAUUGAUAAACUUAUUAAAAGCAUGGAAUAUAUAUUAUUAUUAAUAACAAAUAAAGAUGAACAUAUACCAUUAAAUGAUUUUUAUUUAUUAGAUAAAAAUAUAUAUUCAAAAGAACAUUAUUGUAUACCUUUAUAUAUUAAAAAAAAUAAUAUAAUACUAAGACCAAAUCAUUUACAUUUAAAAUGGAUUGUAUAUACAUUACAAUCCUUUUGUAUUUUUAAUUCCUAUUUUAAAAAAAUUAAUAAAUAUAUGUGUUCCUUCCCGUUCUUUAAUUAUAAAUAUAAUUUUUUUAAAAAAAAAGAACUUAACCUUGAACAACAAACCAAUCAUGAAAACAUAAAAGACAAAUAUAUAUUUUUUCAACAACAUAUCAUUCAAAAUAAAGAAAAGUAUUUGAAGUACUUUCCCCGUAAUAUAACACUACAAUUCAAACAUAAUGAAAACGCAAAUGAUUAUAAUAAAAAACAUGUUCAAGUAAAUUUAGCCUCAGUAUUUGUUCUAACUCCUAAUAAAACGUACGCACUUGAAGAGAUAUAG
ensembl:lncRNA